rfam:Zea mays cultivar B73 chromosome 2, whole genome shotgun sequence.
GGAUGCGAUCAUACCAACACUAAAGCACGAGAUCCUAUCAGAACUUUGAAGUUAAGCGUGCUUGGGCGAGAGUAGUACUAGGAUGGGUGACCUCCUGGGAAGUCCUCGUGUUGCAUUCC